ensembl:lncRNA
AUUCUCUUCUAGUCUUUUGGGUCAGCCUGCCCUCAUGCCUUGAGGAUGUAUUUUCCUCUGCUUGCCAAAUAAAACAGCUGUAACAUGGAGCUGUAACACUGGUCCAUCUGUCACUUCAAAUUUUUGCUGCAGCAAGACAGAACCAAGGAAAUUACUCAAUUCCCCAACAUAUAUGGUGCUGUUUCUAGGAUUUAUCCUGGCUUAAACAAUCUCGGCUCAGCCCCCACAAGGCAGAAGCCGAGCACAGCAGAAGCCCAGCUCAGUGAAAGAUCCCAUGGUGGAAGCUGAACAUGAAGAAAACCCAGCGCAGGGAAAGUGACAAGAAGCCCACUAUGCUGGAAACUGGAACAACAAAAACAACUCAGUGGAAAGUUCACGCAGCUCAGUCUCAGAUUCCAGGAGGCCUCCGGUUAAGAAACCUUGGACCACUGGACAAAACCCAAGAGGGACUGGCAUAAGAUCCUCUGACCAAUCCUGAGGAAAUCUGGUACACUGAUGGAAGCAGCUUUGUCUUGGAUGGAAAAAGAGGAACCGGAUAUGCGGUAGUCUCCAAUUCUGAGACCAUAGAGGCUAAACCUUUGCCACCAGGUCAACAAGUUACAACAUGCAGUGCCAGUUCAACAAGGAUAUAUAAAACUACAGCCAACCACGGAAAAUAUCACUCACCCUAAGAUGGACAGCACUAUAAGGACUAUGGGCUUGAGACUACCAAGAGGGGGAGGCCCAAUGCCCCUUGCUGUCAAGUUCAGCAGGAAGUAGCCAGAGAGAUCUCAACACUCCUAUUCCCAAAGAAUUGGGCCUCCCAUCUCUUGAGUGGGGAAUGUCAGGUACUUAGAACAGGAAAAAGGAGUCCAAAAUGGCGGUGGCUAAAAGACAAAAAAAGGGAAAAGUCCACAAAAACAGAACAAAAGAAAAUCCAAGGACAGGAGUGAGAACCUCAGGUGAAACAAACAGUCCUCCUGGCUAGCCCAAUUUACACAGGGCAGACUCGGGGAGUAGGGAGACAAAUGUAUAAAAGGAGGAAGACAAGAGGAAUUGAGGCCUUUCCUUCGGGGUCAGCCUGCCCUCAUGCCUCAAGGGUAUACUAUUCUUUGCUUGCCAAACAAAACUCUGACUAGUAACUGAGCUAUUCCACUGGUCUGCCGUUUCAAAUCUUUGUUGCAGCGAGACAGAAUCAAGGAAAUUACACAUUCCCCCAACAAAUUGAAAUAAUAAAUAUAAAAUGAACUAUGAAGAUAAAAGUUUGCUAAACUAUCAUUUUAUUAAUAGCAAAGGAAAAUACAGUUUUGUAGAUUCCACAGGUGGGCAAAAUUUCUCCAUAAAAUUUCCUAAAUAUAUUCUACUAAGAACUUUAUGAAAAGAUAAAAGUUAUCUUUUUGAAAAGAUACCUAUUUCCUGUGUCUAUUUUCAGUAGCACAGGCAAAAAAAACAUGUUUCAAGAUACAACUCUUAGUGCCAAAGUGAUUACAAAACUGUUAAGACAGUAAUUUAGGGAGAGCCAAGGCCAGAAAAAUAUAUUAUUACUGUUAUAAUGAACAGAGAAAAGAAAGAUGUUGAAUAUAGCUUGAGAAAAAACUUCUGUUUCUCAUCUUUUUAAGAGUUCUUACAACUCAGGUAAUAAAAAUAUAAAACUUAUGGAUCCUUGUUGCAAAUAGUCCUCUGCCUACACUGAUAUUUGAUUUAAAGUGAUCAUGUUGUACUUGCUGGUUAAGAGGAUAUACCUGCCUUAUAAUGGGCUUAAAUAAUCUCUUUAAAGAUAUAUUUGCAAGCUAAGAUGAUGCUUAUUUUAUCUAAUAUACAGUGGACAUUUCUAAAAUUAACUACUUAGGAGGCCUUAUUAGCAAAGUAUGUUCCUGGCUUCCCUGUACUGAUAUGACAAUUAAAUCAUUGGCAGAGAACUGAAGGUUGCCUUUGAGACAAUAAGUUGGCAUAUGAUAUUGACCAAAAACAUGAUAUCUGCAGUUAGUCUAAAGUGGAACAAUUUGAUAAAAGCUUAUGUGGGGAAAAUUGAGAUUGAAACAUGUUUUCAUGCAGGCUAAGUUGCUUCAGUUGUGUCCAAAUCUUUGUGGCCCUUAUGGACUGUAGCCUGCCAGGCUCCUCUGUCCAUAGGAUUUCCAGGCAAGAAUAUUGGAGUGAGUUGCCAUGUACUUCUCCAGGGGAUCUUCCUGACCCAGGGAUUGAACCCAGGUCUCUUAUGUCUCCUGCAUGAGCAGGUGGGAUUUUUAUCACUAGCGCCACCUGGAAGCCCAUUUAAGGAAUCACUAUUUUGUUGAUUCUAUUUUCUAUGUAAAACUACAAAUAUGUGCAGAAAUAGAAUAAUUAAUCUCUGUACACUUAUCAUCCAGUAUGAAUACAUAUUCACUCAUGGCCAAUCCUACUUCAGAUACCCACUCCCUUCCCUAUCUUCUAUAUUAUUUUGAAGAACACCCCAGACAUCCUAUCAUCUGCAAAUAUUUCCUAUUAAUCUCUAGAAGUCAAAAAUCAAAACCAUGAUAACCACUAUCAUAUCUAAAAAUUAACAAUAAUGACUUAAUAUUAACAUGUAAAAUACCCAUUUAGUGUUAAAACUUUCAAUAGUUUUAUAAUUCUCACAGUUUUAAAUCUUUACUUAAAACAAGUACAAUAGAUUCGUCUUUUGUGUAGUUGCUAAGUUGUGUCUGACUCUUGGCAACCUCAUGGACUGUAGCCCAGCAGGCUCCUCUGUCCAUGAGAUUUCCCAAGCAAGAAUACUGGACUGAGUUGCC